UUUGAAUAUAUACCCAGGAGUGGGAUUGCUGGAUCAUAUGGUAGUUCUAUUUUUAGUUUUUAAAGGAAUAUCCAUAUUGUUCUCCAUAAUGGCGUAACUAAUUUACAUGCCUGGCGACAGUGUAUGAGGUAUCUACUUCCUCAACAUCCUUGCCAGCAUGUGUUGUUUCCUAUCUUUUGGAAAAAGCCAUUUUAACUGGGGU